GACAGAGGUGCCGAGCGUUAGGCGGAAUCACUGGGCUUAAAGCGUGUGUAGGCGGGCGAUCAAGUACCUUGUGAAAUCCCACGGCUCAACCGUGGAACCGCUGGGUAUACUGGUUGUCUUGAGCCGGCUAGGGGCGAGCGGAACAGACGGUGGAGCGGUGAAAUGCGUAGAUAUCAAGUGGAACACCAGUGGCGAAGGCGAGUCUCUGGACAUUUCCUGACGCUGAGGCACGAAAGCCAGGGGAGCAAACGGG
rnacentral:rRNA from 1 species